UGAUCCUUUAGGCUUUUUAUCUCUAAGAGGUCAUGUUUCUCCCCUAUCUAGUCUGAAAAGACGUCAGAGAACCGUUUCCUGUGUAUGACGGCAUACCCCUUGACAAGAAUGGUGACGCAAUAUAAUUGUAGGAGCCACCUUUGACAACAUAUGGGACCACUAUGGUUGGCACAGCCGUGGUCAGAAACGUAUCAUGGUUUGGCAAGCCGUAAAUGUGUUGUGGUUUAGCAAGCUGUAAAUAUUCUUAAAAUGAUAUGAAAUGAAUUUAUCAUUCCACAUUAGUUGAGAAUCCAUAUUGCCCU
rnacentral:lncRNA from 1 species